rnacentral:rRNA from 1 species
GACGAACGCUGGCGGCGUGCUUAACACAUGCAAGUCGUACGGUAAGGCCCUUUCGGGGGUACACGAGUGGCGAACGGGUGAGUAACACGUGAGUAACCUGCCCACAACUUUGGGAUAACGCUAGGAAACUGGUGCUAAUACUGGAUAUGUGCUCCUGCUGCAUGGUGGGGGUUGGAAAGCUCCGGCGGUUGUGGAUGGACUCGCGGCCUAUCAGCUUGUUGGUGGGGUAGUGGCCUACCAAGGCGGCGACGGGUAGCCGGCCUGAGAGGGUGACCGGCCACAGUGGGACUGAGAUACGGCCCAGACGCCUACGGGAGGCAGCAGUGGGGAAUAUUGCACAAUGGGCGCAAGCCGGAUGCAGCAACGCCGCGUGCGGGAUGACGGCCUUCGGGUUGUAAACCGCUUUCAGCAGGGACGAAGCUUUUUGUGACGGUACCUGCAGAAGAAGCACCGGCUAACUACGUG